rnacentral:tRNA from 1 species
ACUAUUUUGGCAGAUAAGUGCAUUGGAUUUAGAAUCUAUUAAUGUAGAAAUAAUUUUACAAGUAGUA